rnacentral:rRNA from 1 species
CUCAGGAUGAACGCUGGCGGCGUGCUUAACACAUGCAAGUCGAACGAUGAUGGGAGCUUGCUCCUGGAUUAGUGGCGAACGGGUGAGUAACACGUGAGUAACCUGCCCUUAACUCUGGGAUAAGCCUGGGAAACUGGGUCUAAUACCGGAUAUGACUCCUCAUCGCAUGGUGGGGGGUGGAAAGCUUUUUGUGGUUUUGGAUGGACUCGCGGCCUAUCAGCUUGUUGGUGAGGUAAUGGCUUACCAAGGCGACGACGGGUAGCCGGCCUGAGAGGGUGACCGGCCACACUGGGACUGAGACACGGCCCAGACUCCUACGGGAGGCAGCAGUGGGGAAUAUUGCACAAUGGGCGCAAGCCUGAUGCAGCGACGCCGCGUGAGGGAUGACGGCCUUCGGGUUGUAAACCUCUUCAGUAGGGAAGAAGCGAA